rnacentral:rRNA from 1 species
UGCAGUCGACGGAACUCUUCGGAGUUUAGUGGCGGACGGGUGAGUAACGCGUGAGAAUCUGCCUUCAGGUUGGGGACAACAGUUGGAAACGACUGCUAAUACCCAAUGUGCCGAGAGGUGAAAGCUUUAGUGCCUGAAGAUGAGCUCGCGUCUGAUUAGCUAGUUGGUGAGGUAAUGGCUUACCAAGGCGACGAUCAGUAGCUGGUCUGAGAGGAUGAUCAGCCACACUGGGACUGAGACACGGCCCAGACUCCUACGGGAGGCAGCAGUGGGGAAUUUUCCGCAAUGGGCGCAAGCCUGACGGAGCAAGACCGCGUGAGGGAGGAAGGCUCUUGGGUUGUAAACCUCUUUUAUCAGGGAAGAAGAUCUGACGGUACCUGAUGAAUCAGCAUCGGCUAACUCCGUGCCAGCAGCCGCGGUAAUACGGAGGAUGCAAGCGUUAUCCGGAUUUAUUGGGCGUAAAGCGUCCGCAGGUGGUUUUUCAAGUCUGCUGUUAAAGCGCAGAGCUUAACUCUGUAACGGCGGUGGAAACUGAGAGACUAGAGUAUGGUAGGGGUUGCGGGAAUUCCCAGUGUAGCGGUGAAAUGCGUAGAUAUUGGGAAGAACACCAGCGGCGAAAGCGCGCAACUGGGCCAUUACUGACACUCAUGGACGAAAGCUAGGGGAGCGAAAGGGAUUAGAUACCCCUGUAGUCCUAGCUGUAAACGAUGGGUACUAGGUGUUGACCGUAUCGACCCGGUCAGUGCCGUAGCUAACGCGUUAAGUACCCCGGCCUGGGGAGUAUGCACGCAGUGUGAAACUCAAAGGAUUGACGGGGCCCGCACAAGCGUGAGUAUGUGUUUAAUU